rnacentral:rRNA from 1 species
UACGUAGGGUGCGAGCGUUAAUCGGAAUUACUGGGCGUAAAGCGUGCGCAGGCGGUUUUGUAAGCAAGAUGUGAAAUCCCCGGGCUUAACCUGGGAAUGGCAUUUGGGACUGCAAGGCUUGAGUGCGGCAGAGGAGACUGGAAUUCCUGGUGUAGCAGUGAAAUGCGUAGAUAUCAGGAGGAACACCGGUGGCGAAGGCGGGUCUCUGGGCCGUAACUGACGCUGAGGAGCGAAAGCGUGGGGAGCGAACAGG